GAGUAGCUCAGUCGGUAGAGCACGAGACUCUUAAUCUCAGGGUUGUGGGUUUGAGCCCCACGUUGGGCA